AUACUUACCUGGCAGGGGAGAUACUAUGAUCACAAAGGUGGUUUUCCCAGGGUAAGGCUUAUCCAUUGCACUUUGGAUUUGCUUACCCCUCUGACUUCCCCAAAUGUGGGAAAUCUGACUACAUAACUCAUGGUAUUGGGAGACUGUAUUCGCACUUUCCCCUA